CCCUUAGACGUUCUGGGCCGCACGCGCGCUACACUGACGAAGGCAACGAGCUUUCCUUUACCGAAAGGUACGGGUAAUCUUUUGAAACUUCGCCGUGCUGGGGAUAGAUCCUUGCAAUUUUUGAUCUUAAACGAGGAAUGCCUAGUAAGCGCAAGUCAUCAACUUGCGUUGAUUACGUCCCUGCCCUUUGUACACACCGCCCGUCGCUACUACCGAUUGAAUGGUUUAGUGAGGCCUUCGGAUCCGCGACUCGUUUUGUGGAGAAGUUGGACAAACUCAGUCAUUUAGAGGAAGUAAAAGUCGUAACA
rnacentral:rRNA from 1 species